rnacentral:rRNA from 1 species
AUGGAUGCUGACCACGGUGAACUUCCAAUCACAACUGGAGACGAAACUACCACUGUCACGGCCCGCUUUAUCAAGGGAGUUGACAAAAGGGCCACCAUCACUAAAGGCUGGAGCGACUUCUUUCGUCGGACACACAUGAACGAAGGGCAAGCAUAUGCUUUCGGCUUCAAAUGCACUUCCAAGGGAUUGCGCCUGUUUGUCUACUCAAUAUAA